CCUUGACCGUGAUAAUGUAGCAUAAUCACUCGCCAUUUAAUUGAUGGAUAGUAUGAAUGGUUGAACGAAUAUUCCACUGUCUUAGAAGGAAUUAAAAGAAAUUGAAAUAAUAGUUAAGAUGCUAUUUUAAACUGUAAGACGAAAAGACCCUAUAGAGCUUAACUAUAAUCUCUUUUUAACAAAGAAAGAUUAUUUUUUAAAUUAAAGAGAUUGGUAGUUUAGUUGGGGCGACUGUCUUCUAGAAAAAACGAAGACAAGCAAAAAUAAUAGAAAAUUUAUUGUAUAACACAUAUGUUUAACAAUUACUAAAGUAGGCUAUAUUGACCCGUUUUUACUCCAUAAUAAGAAAAACGAUCAAUUGAUAAAAGCUACCUUAGGGAUACCAGGAUAAUUUCAUUUUAGAGUUCAUAUCGAAAAUGAAGUUUGUCACCUCUAUGUUGAAUUAAGAUAUCCCGGUAAUGCAGA
rnacentral:rRNA from 1 species